CAGUAGCCGCGGGAACACGUAGGUGGCAAGCGUUGUCCGGAAUUAUUGGGCGUAAAGCGCGCGCAGGCGGCUUCCCAAGUCCCUCUUAAAAGUGCGGGGCUUAACCCCGUGAUGGGAAGGAAACUGGGAAGCUGGAGUAUCGGAGAGGAAAGUGGAAUUCCUAGUGUAGCGGUGAAAUGCGUAGAGAUUAGGAAGAACACCGGUGGCGAAGGCGACUUUCUGGACGAAAACUGACGCUGAGGCGCGAAAGCGUGGGGAGCAAACAGGAUUAGAUACCCCCGUAGUCCCUGUCUCUUAUACC
rnacentral:rRNA from 1 species